CUCAGAAGAACUUCGUAAAUUGAUUUCAAUACAUUUUAAUGGAGAACGGAAAAAUGUGACCGACUUAAUAUUUUCCAAAAAAAAAAAAGUCAAAAUGUUGGGUAGCACACCGAUCAAUAGUAUCAGCUUUUUUCCUUUUUUGUUUACACUUUUUUAGAAAAAUUAUUAUUAGUCUCGAUUAUUAAUAAAACAAUUAUUAAUAUUAAACUUAAACGCAAUCAUUUAGAAUCAAAAAUAAAAAAACACAAAGGAAUUGAGGGUACGAAUAAAAUAAAUAAGUAUUCUAUCACAAAAAGUUUUAAAUGAACAAAGAAUUUAUUUAUCACGG